rnacentral:rRNA from 1 species
AUUGAACGCUGGCGGCAUGCUUUACACAUGCAAGUCGAACGGUAACAGGUUAAGCUGACGAGUGGCGAACGGGUGAGUAAUGCAUCGGAACGUGCCCGGUCGUGGGGGAUAACGCAGCGAAAGCUGCGCUAAUACCGCAUACGAUCUAAGGAUGAAAGCGGGGGACCGUAAGGCCUCGCGCGAUCGGAGCGGCCGAUGUCAGAUUAGGUAGUUGGUGGGGUAAAGGCUCGCCAAACCAACGAUCUGUAGCUGGUCUGAGAGGACGACCAGCCACACUGGGACUGAGACACGGCCCAGACUCCUACGGGAGGCAGCAGUGGGGAAUUUUGGACAAUGGGCGAAAGCCUGAUCCAGCAAUGCCGCGUGCAGGAAGAAGGCCUUCGGGUUGUAAACUGCUUUUGUACGGAGCGAAAAGGUCUCCUCUAAUACAGGGGGCUCAUGACGGUACCGUAAGAAUAAGCACCGGCUAACUACGUGCCAGCCGCCGCGGUAA